rnacentral:lncRNA from 1 species
UUCUGCAAUUUUUUUCUUUUCUUUAAACAUGUGCUAGUUAUUAGAGGGUAAGAUGUAAACUCUUUUUUUUUAUUCUCACCCGGUAUUCGGUACCCACAUUGGAGCCCAACUAAUCCGGAUUCGCGCUGGGAAAUCCCACAUUGGGGUAAAGCGCUCCCUAACAUUAGGGUAAGAUGUAAAUUCAAAAUGGCAAGAGUUGCAUGAAAAAGAAGAAGAAAGAGAGAACGGCAAACACUUUUUUCUUCGAUAUUUUAUCAUAACAUUAAAUACUAACUUUAUGGUUAUUGCUCUUUCCAUAUAUAUGCAUAAUCAUUAGCAGAAGAACAACAUAAUAUGAACACCCAAAGAAGCAACUGCAAAAAAGAAGACAAAUUUAACAAAAAAAAUAUGAUAAAAAGGAGAAGAAAAUUUGAAGUCUUACACAUACAAAAUAAUAAAAUCAGAGUUUAAAGCAUGAGAAACCUUCAAAUCAUAUACAACUUUUGCUCGUGUAUAUGGGCAACUUUGUUAUCGAUUUGCCUUCAGAUGUUGGAGCCUUCAUUAUAUGAAAAUCUAUCAAACACAAAAGAACAAAAUUAAUUAAAAACCCAUCAGUAAAGCAAAAAUUUCUACGAAAGAUCAAACCGAAAGGGAAAGUACAAAAUUAAUUUACCCAUCAGUAUUAGCAAUGUGUUAACUCAAUAUACUGACACAUCCUAAUUUAUAAAUAGAAAUUAAAUAGCAAAAGUUAAAACAAAAGAAUCAAACCGAAAGGGACAAAAUAAUGGAAGCAGACAUACCACAUUCAAAAAUGUAAGAAAAAUGAAAAAAUGUGAAUGUUACGUUCUUCCAAGUCUUCUUCAUAACAGUUCCUCUUGUUCCUUAUUCUUUUUCAAGUU